UGCAAUUUUAUCACAGCCUGAUCCUCUCCAGGGAUCUAUAAAACAGCUAACUCUCGGUGAGGACUGAAAAGCUCAGAGAGAAAGAGGCAGCACAAGAAGGGACUAGACACCAACAAGAUCUGUGAAAUGGAAAUGGAAAUAUUCAUUGUAUAGGGCUGUUGCUGAUUUCCUAAAACUGGAAGCACUACAUAGCGCUGUAGGGACCAUUGCAGUGUCAAUAACUGAAUGAUUGAAGAAAAAACAAACACUAGUUUUUAGAGUAUCGCUGAAACAGGCACCAAACAUUAGGCCAUUUACGCUGGGAUGACUGAAGAGUGGAACUAGAAGAACCCACACC